CUCCAAUUGACGAGUUCCAAAUAGGACGAAAUGUCAUCCUGGAU
rnacentral:hammerhead_ribozyme from 1 species